rnacentral:rRNA from 1 species
AUUGAACGCUGGCGGCAGGCUUAACGCAUGCAAGUCGAGCGGGGUGAUGGUGCUUGCACUAUCACUUAGCGGCGGACGGGUGAGUAAUGCUUAGGAAUCUGCCUAUUAGUGGGGGACAAUAUCUCGAAAGGGAUGCUAAUACCGCAUACGUCCUACGGGAGAAAGCAGGGGAUCACUUGUGACCUUGCGCUAAUAGAUGAGCCUAAGUCGGAUUAGCUAGUUGGUGGGGUAAAGGCCUACCGAAGCGACGAUCGGUAGCGGGUCUGAGAGGAUGGUCCGCCACACUGGGACUGCGACACGGCCCAGACUCCUACGGGAGGCAGCAGUGGGGAAUAUUGGACCAGGGGGGGAACCCUGAUCCAGCCAUGCCGCGUGUGUGAAGAAGGCCUUAUGGUUGUAAAGCACUUUAAGCGAGGAGGAGGCUACUCUAGUUAAUACCUAGGGAUAGUGGACGUUACUCGCAGAAUAAGCACCGGCUAACUCUGUGCCAGCCGCCGCAGUAA